UUAGCGAUUGCUGAGCUUAUGCAGGAUGUGCUUGAGAAGCACAAUCUACCAAAAGCAUUGGUCACUGUAGUGCCAAAUCCAGAUCGCUCAC
rnacentral:tRNA from 1 species